rnacentral:tRNA from 3 species
GCGGGCGUGGCGGAACUGGUAGACGCGCUAGGUUUAGGUCCUAGUGGCCGUGAGGCCAUGGGGGUUCGAGUCCCUCCGCCCGCACCA